UGAACGCUGGCGGCGUGCCUAAUACAUGCAAGUCGAGCGAACAGAUAAGGAGCUUGCUCCUUUGACGUUAGCGGCGGACGGGUGAGUAACACGUGGGUAACCUACCUAUAAGACUGGGAUAACUUCGGGAAACCGGAGCUAAUACCGGAUAACAUUUGGAACCGCAUGGUUCUAAAGUGAAAGAUGGUUUUGCUAUCACUUAUAGAUGGACCCGCGCCGUAUUAGCUAGUUGGUAAGGUAACGGCUUACCAAGGCGACGAUACGUAGCCGACCUGAGAGGGUGAUCGGCCACACUGGAACUGAGACACGGUCCAGACUCCUACGGGAGGCAGCAGUAGGGAAUCUUCCGCAAUGGGCGAAAGCCUGACGGAGCAACGCCGCGUGAGUGAUGAAGGGUUUCGGCUCGUAAAACUCUGUUAUUAGGGAAGAACAAACGUGUAAGUAACUGUGCACGUCUUGACGGUACCUAAUCAGAAAGCCACGGCUAACUACGUG
rnacentral:rRNA from 1 species